AUUGAACGCUGGCGGCAGGCCUAACACAUGCAAGUCGAGCGGAUGAAGGGAGCUCGCUCCUGGAUUCAGUGGCGGACGGGUGAGUAAUGCCUAGGAAUCUGCCUGGUAGUGGGGGAUAACGUCCCGAAACGGGCGCUAAUAUCGCAUACGUCCUGAGGGAGAAAGUGGGGGAUCUUCGGACCUCACGCUACCAGAUGAGCCUAGGUCGGAUUAGCUAGUUGGUGGGGUAAAGGCCUACCAAGGCGACGAUCCGUAACUGGUCUGAGAGGAUGAUCAGUCACACUGGAACUGAGACACGGUCCAGACUCCUACGGGAGGCAGCAGUGGGGAAUAUUGGACAAUGGGCGAAAGCCUGAUCCAGCAAUGCCGCGUGUGUGAAGAAGGUCUUCGGAUUGUAAAGCACUUUAAGUAGGGAGGAAGGGCAGUAAGUUAAUACGUUGCUGUUUUGACGUUACCAACAGAAUAAGCACCGGCUAACUUCGUG
rnacentral:rRNA from 1 species